UAAAAUUAAAUUGAUUUACAUAAAAAAAUUAAAAGAAAAGCGGAUAGUGAAUGAUAUAUAACAUAACAACAAAAGGAAUAGCUUAAUAUAUACUGAUAAUAAUCAUAAGUCUCCAAAAUAACAAACAUAAAUCAAAUCAUAUCAUCACAUCUCCGUGAGCUACAAAGCAUAACUGAUAACUCUCUCUCAUUAUAAAAUUUAUAUGUAAUAAGACUCACUCCCUAAAAGACUAAAAACCCAGUGGAUCCGCCGCUACUAAGCCCACAUAACGUCUAAACAACGCAAAAAAAGAAAAAAAAAUGAAGAAACCACUCUACACACCCAAUAAGCUAGUGACACGUAAUCAGAUAGAGAACCGGCCUCUUAAACCCUGAGAACUGAGCCGAACACCAGAGCGGAAAGGAGAGCGACACCAGCGGCGGCUAAGGAAGGCGAGAUCGAGCCGGCUCCGGAAGCGGGAGCUGGAGCGGGAGAGAGAUCUUGAGCCGACCCUGCGAGAACCAAGGCGGCCAGGACAACGGCCAUCAUCAGCGUAGCCAUUGAAGCCUUUGAGAAUGCCAUUAUUGAAGCCUUUUUUUCUCAGGGUUUUUGAGAGCGUAACCGAAGGAAGCUGAGAGAGAUUCUUUUUCCUGUGUCUGUAUGUGGGAAGUGUUAGUAUUUAAGACAUGAGAAGAAAAUAGUGAGGUUUAUUUAUAGACUGAAAAGUGUGGACGGGAAGAGAGAAUUUCGGGCAGCGGCCCGGAUUUUUCCAGUCUGUCUAUUGGUUUCUUGACAGCUAUGUUUAUUUGUGGGGCCCAGUUAAUUAUAAUUUCACGCGACCGUUUAGGGUAUCGAACGGCGAAGCGACGUCGUGUCGGUUCACGAGUGUGACUUACGCCGAGGAAAUAAUUGAUUCUUUGGGAUUGGGAAAAAUUUGAGCAAAGUAAAAUUACGGAAACAGCAGCGAAUUAUAAUAUCGCAGUCUGUGAUAAACUUGAUAACUAUCUACUUGAAUUGAUAGGACAUAUAAAAAGAACAUUGUAUUAUUUAAAGGAUUGAAUAAUUUAAUUGAUAAAAAUCUCUUACCGCUAAGUUUGGAGAUCCAUUUGCACUCAAAUUUGGUGGAGGAAAAUUUUGAUUUCAGUUGUGUUAUGUUAUUAACAAAAAUUAUUGUUCAAAAAAUGCCUUUUUGUAGCUGCAAUAAAUGAGAAAAUUUUAAAGUACUUUUUUUUUAUUAUUUAUAUAAAUUGAACGAAAUCUUGGUGUGAUUAUUUUGUAAAUUCUCGAGAACUUUUGGGGUGGGGUGGGGGAUUUUGUGUAUGAAUGUAUGAUGAGUUCAUUGAAGAGGCGAAUGUUUAAUGGUGGGAUUGAUGAUUAGGGAUCAGUGAUGGUGCAGUUGAUUCCGCUACAAAGAUUUUUGUAAGCGCCCACAGACAGCCCACGUGGGAUGCGGUGGCUCGACCAUUAGGAGGAGGACGCGUGGAGACGUGGAAGGGCACGGGCUUUUUUAAUAUUCGAAUUUUGAAUUUGAAUAAUCGGAUGUGGACCUGUGGACAGUAUGAAAUGAUCGUGAAUUUUGUGGGUUUCCAGAACUUUCCGUUUGGCGUGUGCGACUGUGUGUUCAUUGGCAGGCACAUGUAGGAGUGUUACGAAGUUUACGCGUUAAACGUAUGCGGAAAGAAAAUGGUUUAACUUUGGGUAAAUGUUUAAAAAAGGAAAUUUCAAUCAACGCUUCUUCUUCUUCUUCUUUUUUUUUUUUUUAUUCCAUAAAAGAAGAUCUUUAAUUUCUGUAAUUAUAUCAUAAUUGAGUCCAAGAAGAUCUGGCUGCAUUGUUGUAAUUUUAUUUAGUUAACCAUAUAAAUUUGAGUCCCGAAGUUAAAAACUUAAUUUUAAUUUUAACUGCUCUUCCAUCUUCUUUUUGUUUUUGUUUUUGUUUUUAAAUGAUCAUGAAACACCUCUUCUCAUUAAUUAAUGUAGAAAAAAAAAGGUUUCAACCACUCCUACGUAUAUUAGCAUGAUUUCUUUUUUAAAUAUUAUUUGAUUGGUAUCAUUGCAAAGUUAAUUUAGAUUCAGUAGUUUAUUUUGGCUAAAACAUCAUAUAUUUAAGAUGCAUCAUCAGAAAAUUGAUUUAGAGUCACCUAAUUUUGAGCUCAAAUAUUAUAUAUUUGCACUCACAAUCAUAUAAUUGGUUUAGAUUUAAUCUGUUUUAAGCUCAAAUAUGUAGCUAUCACAUAAAUAAUUUAGAAUGUUACAAUAUUCUAAGGGCGUGGUCGGGUUAAUUAUAGUGCAGUUGUAGCCUCUACCAAAAUCCGGGUUCGAUUCUUAGAGAUCAAGAUUAUGUUUAGGCUCGCCCACCUCCUCUUACUUUAAAAAAAAAAAAUUUAGAAGGUUACUAAUAUUUUUUUAAUUAUAAAUAUCAAUAUAUAUUGUAAUGUAAUAUUCUUUUUUUUUUUAAAAAAAAAAGGUCAGGUAGAAUUGAUCUCCCUCAUACCAAAUUUUGUAAAAAAUAAUUUAGGUUAUGCCGAUUCAUAAGAUGAGGGGUUCAUAUAGUUUAGUUCAGUUGAUAAUUUUUUUUUUUUGGUUGAAAAAAGAGAUAUGAGAUUUAAAAUCAGUUUAGGUGAGCAAGGACGGUUUUGGGUUGUCACCGAGCUAAAUUAAAAAGGAUUAAUGAGAUGAGACGAGUGGUUUGUUAAAAAGAAUAGUGCCACAUAUUAUAAAGUUUGUGUCAAAAAAAUUCAUCCUAUAAAAGAAGAGACACUCCUAAUAGGCAUGAAAAAAAAUACAAUAAAUCGUUUUAAAACAUAACUGUGACUAGAACAUCCCCUUGUGAAGAUAUAUUUUUUAUUUUUUUAAAAAAAAUUAUUUAAAUAUCUCUAAUGUUCAUGCAACAAAUACGAUGAAUAGUCACAAGGGCAGUCUAGAAAAAGGCAUUUACAAAUACACGGCGGGCCAACAAAGAAUCAUUCACCUUCUAAUCCUUCGAUGUCUGCUUGCAACUCAACUAAACUAACAGCAUUCCAAAAUCAGCAAGAAAACGAUUUAAGAACUUAUUUUGGAAUGCUAUUAGUUUUUAAGGAUUAAUGAGAUGAGAUGAGUGGUUUAUUAAAAAGAGUAGUACCACCUACUGUAAAGUUUAUGUCAAAAAAAUCCAUCCAAUAAAAGAAGAGACACUCGUAAUAUGCAUUAAAAAAAAACACACAAUAAAUCAUUUUAAAACAUAACGUGAAUCAAACAUCACCUUAUGAAGAUAUAUAUAUUUAAAUAUCUCAAAUGUUCAUGCAACAAAUGCGAUGAAUAGUCACGAGGGCGGUCGAGAAAAUGCGUUGACAAUUACACGACCGGCCAACAAAAAAAUCAUUCACCUUCUAAUCCUUCAGUGUCUGCUUGCAACUCAACUAAACUGAUAGCAAUUAGCAUACCAAAAUAAGCCAAAAAAAAAAAAAAAAAAGAUUUAAGAAUCUUAUUAUUUUACUCGUUAAUAUUGCUAAGCAUAUGGCAGCCCUGGGCGGCUGUGGAGUGCAGCCUGGCGUUGGAUUUGCUCACAGACAGGACCUGUAAGGCUGAAACAACACGGCAGCAACAAAGAAAGUAGUUUUAUUUACGUAAUACAAUUUUUUAUACCUUUAUUUUUUAUCUGCAUGAUUUAGUUCUUACACAGACGUGCUAACGAGAAUCAUCCAGUAGCUGGUGUCACUUGUCAACUACUCCUUAACUUAAAGAGCAUAUUUGGGAUUGUCAAGUAUUCCCAAAUUAGUGAUUAUUUGAGAAUUUGUUAUCACAUAUGGUUGGUUCGAGUUAUUCUCUCAGACAUAUCACACCAAUAAUCAUCAAAUAAGUGAGAAUCAAACAAAAUUUGAAAGCAAAUUCUCAAGUAAUUGGUUAGAUUGUAUGAAAAUUUGACUUGUGAAUAUCAAGUAACCUCAGAAUUAGAAUGACUGUAAUGUAUACAUUGGCAUUUACUAUUUACUAAUCACCAAUCAUAGCUUUCUAUUUGGCUCAAUGGCUGAGUGCAAAUCCAGAUGAGCAUGAAAUUCAAAUCAACUCAAAAACCGUUAGAGAAAACAAAAUAUCUUUGAAGUAGUUAUCACUUCAUUAUUAUCAGUAGGAUGAAAAUGAUCGAAGUUAAAAACGUCCAAAAUUAUUAAAUUCAUUUAUCUAACCUGAAUAAUGGACACAUAUACCACGUUGGCUGUCAUUCCUCUGUACAUACAAGAAUCUCACUGUAUCAUCAAAGAGGCUAAUCCUAUGUAACAGUCCUCUCAAUUCGUAUUAUGCAACACGUCUAUCCGAAAAGCUCCUAAUCAUCUUUCUUCCUCGGCUAUUACCAUUCAUUCAAAAGUCAACUCAAAAGGUAGACAAAUUUAUUUGUUAAAAGCCCAAAACUUUAGAUGAUAUAUUCAUCAGAGGUUGUAAAGCACUCGGUGCAAAUUUUCUUCCAAAGAGAAAGCAAACUGUAGAGGGCUGGUUAUUGUAUUUGCAAUGCUGACCUCCAUAAACUUUCUUGAAAAACUCCUCUGUUAUGUCGGCUCUUCCGAAUGUGGCUGGAUGAGCACCACCUCUCGACCAAUCAACCCAAGUGCUGCUUCUAUUUGCCAAGAGAUUUGGCAUUUGAAUAGAUAGCAUGGUGGGAAAAUAGUGUUCGUCCACAUAACAAGGUGGUCUACAGAAUUCCGCGAAUUUUGGAUAAUAUGUAGUAUCUUCCACAAUGUUGACUGCAAGCCUUCGGUUGAUUUCAAACCAUUGGGAUCCUUUGCGCCACUGGGUAAUGUUCACCACAGGUGCCAUGUUCGCAUUGUAGCGUCCUCUCCCAUAUGGUCCAGGGUCAUCAAAUGAACCCAUGAAACUAUGUUUGGAUUUCUUUAUGUAAUGGUAGAUGAGGGAGAAAUUAUAAAGAGGAAUGCAAGACUCAGAGACAAGAAUGAACCAUUCAUUGGAGAUAUCAAGCAAUGCAUUAGCAAGGAGUCUUCUCUCAGCAUCGCACAUGCUCAUUUUUCCCCAUUCAGAGAUCUGCAAAGGGAAGAUACAGAAGACAUUACAAUCUCCUCUAAAUUUUGGGAAAUAUUGUAUUCAAAGCUAUGUGCUAAAGUAAAUAGAAUAAGCAGAUAAAGCAUAACCAUCAAAGGCUUUCAGAAGAAUGCAAGACAGUUCCACUACCAAACACUUCACCUAGAACAUGUAAUGAUAACAUUUGGUAAAGGUAAUCAUAAAACCUGUUAUUUUCCAGGAUCAAAGGGUAUCAAGUAUCAAUUUUACAUUUGGGACAGGAUUAUGGUAGCUGCUUGUUGUUGAAAUGGCACUGUAGCAGAGCUAACCAAAUCAGAUCUCCAUUUCUUGGAGGAUUUGUAUCCUGUUCCAGUUACUACAAGGGGGCAACUCAAGAACAUACAUGUCUUCCUACUUGUCCAAUACAAAAACGUAGGGAGAAAAAAAAAAUCAAAUAAAACGCACUUCGUCGAGCCAAUAUACAUACAGACAGCUCAACCCUCCCCCUUGGUGUUUUGGGAUCCAAAAUUUUUCACCUCCACACGAUAUAUGGCAGUGGUUACCAGCCUUAGAUAAACUUACACUGUUGCAGUUCCCAACUUUCAAAAUUCAACCCAAAAAAUGACCGACUCUUAUUGUUGAUCAUUCACUCAAACCCAGUUUUGCUGGUGAAAGUUAUAAUGUAUGCCAUCAAAUUAAUUAGAAAAUGUUUGCCAAGUAACAUUCAAGAAUGCCACCAUGUCAUCUAUGGAUUGUCCGCUCCUGCUAGAUUCCUCGCAAUUUCUCAUGGACUCCAAUAAUCCGUAAGGCAAUCAGGGGAAAAAAAAAGGAGCAAAAUUUUAACUUGGCUAAGCAAAAACAGAAUAUAUUUAGUUUAUAAACAGAAUCUGUUAAUCAGCAUAUUCCUAUUCAACAGAGUAUUUCUAGACUUUGAUCGUGAAUCACCAUGCAUAUAAAAGUGAUGAUGCUAAAUGGGAACACUACUUUCUACUUUCAAACACCAAGAGCCUACAGAUGACUGAGAGGUCCUAAGAACUGAAGAUUGUUAAACAAAAUUCGGAAAGCUAUGCAAGCAUGCUAACACUAUAUAGAUCCUCAAAAGAAUAAUUCACAUUAUAGGUAAAAAAUAAAGUACUGCUCAUCAUCACUCAAGAGAAGAAGAUCAUAACUUACAUCGUCAUAUAAUCAAUAGUACAACAAAGAUGAUCAGAUGAAGUUUCCACCAGAAUUUUAAAUGAAUAAAUAAAACCUGCAAUAGAUAGAUAUAAUGUCAGGCAUACCUGACUUGGGAUUUGUCUGUUGUAAAAAACUGAUGAAGAUGGAAACUUGUUCUCGAAUGUUGGCAGAGAAUGAACAUAGAUAGAAUAUAGCCCUUCAUGCCCCUUGAAAAACUUCUCCCAAAGAGGUCCAAGAGGUAAUGGCCCCUUCGUCAAGAACAUAAAUGCAAUCUUUGGAACUCUCUUAAAGGGAUACUCCUUCACUCGAGGCACAAAUGAGGCCCUCCAAAAAAGCUCCUUAUCACUCAUUGUGUGCAUUAAAUUUGAUGGAGGAUUUAUCCAAUAAUCCAAACCAUUCGGUAGUUCAGGGCAUGCCACAAAACUGGACUUAACCGUUGUCACAACACUCUGGACUCCAAACCGACGAACUGAGUAUAUACUAAUCAACGAAAAGGCUAUACACAGAGCCAGAAACAAACCAAAUAACUGAAAUAAUCUCAGUGGCAAGGCCCUAAAUUGAUUUGUCUUGUUAACAACUGCAGGGUCUUUGCCUUCCUCUAGCGGAACAACCCUUGCUUGCAUCUUUAUAACUCUAAAUCAAAUCAAAAUUUCACCUUCUGCGUCAGAUCCAAAUCAACAUCCUAGCAUCAAAAGCACUACUAAGCCUCAAAAUACCAGCUAAUUUAUUCACCAGAGCUAGCAAAAAAAACAGCUUUUUUUAAAUAUUUGAAAUUUGUGGAAUUCAAUAUGUUUCAGCAAAACAACCCCACUUAGCAACAGUAACGAAAUUAGAUCUAGAGCUGACACUACAGUACUCAAAAAGCAAGUAUUAACAGAUAUAGCACAAUCAUCAGCUUUCACAGCACAUGGGUUUCUUGAAUAAGAAGCUCUUAGCAAAAAUCAAAAGUCCAGAUCGGACUACUUGAUAGUCUAUAGAUCAAACGAAACCAUUAACGUGAUUGGUGGGGUGAUGAAAAACAGUACACGAUGGUGAACGUUCAACAUACCAUGUAAAUUUGUUGGGGCUAUAUGAGGAAACAAAGUUUGAAGCUUUAGCUCGAAUUGCGCCACCAAAGAAGAGAAACAGAACGGUCAAAUAAAUGAACAAAGUUAGGCAAAGAAAAUAAGAGGAGAAAAAGAGAAAAGUCCUUGGGACGCCCAAAGAGAGAGAGAAAAGGAGGUCCAAGAAAGUGGGGAAUCAAGGAAAUUUUGAGUGUGUGUGUAUGUAUGUAUAUAUAUAUAUAUAUAUAUAUAUAUAUAUAUAUAUAUAUAUAUAUAUAUAUAUAUAUAUGGGACUUUGAAUUUGAGGAAAUCACAGAAUUGUAAUUAGGUGAAUUGUGAAAUGUGGAGAAUUCAAAGAAUGUUUUUUGAUUUAACACGUACAGUGGAAGUGUCUGCUUCGUCUUUUGUGGGUUAGCCGUCACCAUGUGAGAGGCGGUUUUUGCAAGGUAAUAAUACGGCAAUGUCUUGCUGUCAUUUUGUAACGUUUUGGAAAACAAAUUUACCCUGAUUCAUUUGCCUUGAUAGAUCCUUUUUUUUUUUUAACCUUUUUUUUUAUAACUUGAAAUAGAAUGAAAUUAGUCAAAAUUUAAAUUUGAAUGAUAUGUAAAUUUUUUUAAAAUUUUUAAAAAUAAAUAUUAAAUUAUUUGUUUUUUAAUUUUAAAAAACUGACAGCCUAUACUUUUACAUUUUUACCCUUACUAAAUUUAAAUGUUGAAUAAAUAAUAUAUUUUUAAAAGAACUUAAAUAUGAUAAUAACAUUAUCUUUUUUUUUAAAAAAGGAUAAUAACAUUAUCUAAAUCAUCUUCAAGUAAAUGAUUUAUGAAAUCAUUCACUUGGCAUAGGGUUGUUCUAACUUAACCAAUGUUUUUUAUUCGAAUCUUGAAAAUGCAGUUGCGUUAAAUACUUAUUGGAAGAGCUUUGACGCCCUAGUGGUCUUACCCAGCUCGAAUUUGAAUUAGUCGAGACCUAAUGUAGUUUCGGAUACCAAAUAGUUUAAUACACGAAAAAAAAAAUUUAUAAAAUUAUAAUAUAAAAAGUUCUUUAAAAUUAUCACAAGUUCACAAUGCUAGUGCGUAAUAUAAGAAAAAACUAACAAGAUACUUGGGAAGUAAAAAAAAAGAAAGAAAAAACUGAACAAAAAUUCUACAAGAAAAGACUGUCAAUGGAAUCAAUUAUGGACUAUCAAAGGCCAUAAAGGAGAUUCAAGAAAUCCUUCGCGUGAAUGUUGUGUCUCAUCAUGAAAAGUAUCUUGCCUUGCCAUCUAUGGUAGGGAAAAACAAAAGACAAUUCUUCAAGUCGAUCAAGCUUCGAGUGCUCAACAAAUUAAAAGGAUGGAAGGCCAGGCUCUUCUCAAGCGGUGGGAAGGAAGUAUUGUUAAAGGCUGUCAUUCAAGCCACUCCUGUUUAUGCUAUGGGCGUUUUCAAGUUGCCAAAAUGCUUAUGCGAGGACCUACAGCGUUGCAUCACAAAUUGUUGGUCGGCCAACUAUGAUGACUCUAAAUGCAUUCACUGGCUUUCUUGGAAGAAUCUUUGCAAGCCAAGGAAGGACGGGGGGCAUGAGAUUUAGAUAUUUAGGUCCUGUUUGUGAUUGAAGUAUGCUGUUAAAAAAAAUUAUAGUUAUAUUAUAAAAAUUAAUAAUAUGUAGUAAAUAUAAAUUUUAAAUAAUAAUUUUGACAAAAUUAUUAAAGAUAUAAUAGAUUUUAUAUUAUACAAGUGAAAAAUCAUAUCAAUCUAAUUUUUAACUUAUAGCAGUUAGUAUUUACUGAACACUUUAGUGCUGUAGCUUAACCUCAAUCUCAAACGCGCUCUUAAGUUCCUUUAAUUAAGCGCUCUUGGCCAAGCAAUGUUGGGGAAUACUACAAGCACCUGAGUCUCUUUUGGCCAAAGUUCUUAAAGCUAGGUACUUUUCCAACACAAACUUCCUAAGUAGCAAAAUCAAAAGCGGCUCAUCUUUUGUAUGGAAGAGUACUCUAUGGGGCCGUGAAGCUAUCAACACUGGCUCAAGAUGGAGGGUUGGCGCUGGUAGGAGCAUAUUUAUUUAUAGAGAUAAUUGGAUGCCAAGUCCAUUAUCUUUUAAACCUAUAUCCCUGAAGACAUGCAUUGCCGAGUGAUUCUAAAGUUUCAGACCUGUUAAUAAAUGGUAACGAAUGGAAUGAGCAGCUAAUAAAGUAAUUCUUAAAAGGAGUCCCCUUGCCACGAGUCCCUACUAAUGACAUUUUAGUGUGGCGUUAUGAAAAAAAGGAGGAUUUUACACAGUUAAGAGUGGUUAUCAAGUGUCCCUUAUUCUCACUCAUCCUAAUUCCCCUUCAAGUUCAUUUGGCUCCGCUAAUUGGUGGUAUCCCUCUUGGCUUUUAACCAUUCCAUCUAAAGUCAAGAUCUUUUUCUGAAGAGCUCUACGCAAUAUACUCCCUACAUCAAAUAAUCUUUUUCAACGAAGGGUAGUGGAUUCCCCACAUUGUCAACGAUGUUACAGUGCUGUUGAGGACACCUUUCAUGUGCUAGUUAGCUGUAAGUUUGCGAUGAAGGUGUGGAAGUUGUCAACUAUGGCUGCUCACGUCACGAAUAGCCCUAAUAUGGAUUUUGCAUUUUUUUUGCUAAGAAUUUGGAAUCUUCGCUGUCAAAAGAGGACUACUAAUCUUUUGUGAUGAUUGCAUGGUCUAUUUGGCACUCUAGGAACAUAGCGCUCUAUCAACAUCAGAUGAUGGAUCCACAAAAUAUUCUUUGUGGCUGAAGCUGUUUUGAAUUCGACACUGCUACUCAAGGCUCCCCAAUUCAAGAGCUAUCGGUCUGUCCAACCGAGACGGAUGUUGGUUGGAUUCCACCAGAGACUCAUUGGUACAAAAUGAACGUUGAUGCAAACACUGACAUCUCUAAUGGAAUUACAAGUUUGGGUGCAAUAAAAAGAAAUUCCAAGGGAGAUUUCAUGGCUGCCUCAGCUCGCAAGAAAUCUUUUCUUGGUGACGUUGAGAUUACAGAUGCUGAGGUUGUCCUACAAUGCAUCAAGCUGGCGACAGAUUCGGACUUCUCUCCCUUGAUUGUCGAAUCUGACUCGGCAAAUGUUGUUCUUGUUGCAAAAAUAGUAUAUCGAUAUGCUACUUCGAUGGCACAUUUUGAGUGGGUUCCACGUAGCGAAUGUGGAAAAUCUUGUGAGGUUUGGAUUCUACUCCAUGAAAACUUCGAAAGUGUAUAUUUAUGUACUUAAAAUGGUGCUUGGCUGAAUGACAAAUUGUCUCUCAAAGUGCACUCUUGAAGUUGAAAAUUUGAAAGGAAAUGAGUUUUAUCCCACAAGGGAAAAUAAGUCAAGGGAUUUGUGUUUAUAUAUACACUUACCCAUGCAUGAGUAAGAAUUAUAAGGAUAGAGGUUUUCUCCACACGCGCAUGCGCCGGGGGAGGGGGUGUUGUAAAUUCUAGACUUAUUUGGUUAAAUUUGUGUGCGUCCGUGCGUCCUGCGCACGCGAAUAUCAGUCCAAAAUCACCCAAACUUGCAUGUCAAACAAGUUUUUAGAAAUUGUAAUACGCCCAUUAAUUAGCGAAAUUGACACUCUCUGUUAUUAACGAUCUUUGUUUGGUUGGAAGACCCUCUCGCAGACAUUGUGGUACACAUGUAAACUUUGUAUUUGUCCAGCAAGGAAAUGUUUUAAAAAAAAUAAAAAUUGUCGACUAUCAAAGGAACCGAUUCACUCUUAAACUUACAGUACACAAUAUUACAUGCCAAAUUAUGACUAAUUAUGCCUAAUGCAUUAAUAUCCUUUCACAACGGUGAAAUCUGAAGGCCCAAAAAUAUUGUCACUUGUUCAAGCCAAAAUAUUGAGGCCAGAUAAGCACCCUAAGGUCAAUAAAUAAUUAACGAAAUCAUACUAGCUUUCUAAUAAAAUCUAUCGAAAGUAAUAUAAAUUGAAAAAUGAUGGAGCACUUUUUAACCCUAAAGGCCUAAACUCAAAUUCACACCUUUAAGAAUGAAUUAAAAUCUAAUUAAAAAAAAGAUUUUAUAAAAAAAGAUUAUAUAAGGAUGAGUUUAUUAGUUGUACAUGGGUGACUUUUUUGAUAAAUAUAGAAAAUAAAUAAUUAAAUAGAGAUAUUUUUGACAUUAGAAUUUUAGUCGGUUUAUGCAGAAUUUUUAAUUUAGUAAAACGUAAAAAAAGAGGCUUAUUUUAUUCCAUCAAAAUUAUCUAAAAACCUCAUUAAAUCAUAAAAAUAACCAUCUUUAAUUGACUUAAUUAAUUAAGUUGUCAUUUAAUUAGAAAAAGAUACACCCCUUAGUUUUUAAUUCAAUUCGUAAUUAAACAGGAUACGUCUCUGUCAUUUGUGCACAAUUAAUAACAAUGCUUAUCCAGAAUCCUUUUAAUCGGCCUUUAAAUUGAAUAAGAAGAUGUUUGGAAGAAUUUUUUUAUCUCUAUCAUAAAUUGUGAGCAAGAAGAGAGGGCAUAUAACAACUAAGAGAAAAUAAGUACAAAGCACGAAAACCAGCUCUGCACUUUUUUCUAGUUCUUUCAGAUUCUGCACUCCGUUUAUUCCCCUCCCAUGUCAUGAAGAGAUGGGUCUUUUUCUCUUCUUCUUUUUUUUUUUUUUCCUAAUAUAAUUUCUAAAAGAAUUUAUGAACAAACAGGUAUUUAUAUGCACAAUUAAUCACGAGUCGCACAAACCAGUGAUUCCUGGCCACGAUCGUGCGAUAUUACGACAUUGCUGAUUUUUUUUCUUUUCUUUUCGUUGUGAGUAAUUAACAUAUAGGGCCCACCAACCACUGCAUCCCGAGAUUGCGUGCCAAAAUCAUGUAAAUUGAUUUUGGAAGUUUCGGAGCUAAGUACGCGUAGCAUUAUUACUGGAGAACAUUCAGCCUUCAAUGCUACGAGAAUUCUCGGGUUGUUGCACAUUGAUUUUGGAAGGUUGGUGCGCAGAAUGCCAUAGAAAAAGCUCACGCAACUCAGGUAAUUAUUUUUCCACGUGGCAGCUACAUGGAAAAUGAACGGGCACAGACUCCUAAAGUGCCACUAAAAUACAGUCGUAAUAGAUUAUACAAGCAAACGAAAGUUUUAAGAAAAAUGAAGUAUCAUUUCCGCAGCCCCUGCACAGAUUAGGGGAACUGCAAAGACAUGCUUUGACAAGAACAAAUCUCGAUUUCAAUCAUUCAGAAUAUUGACAUGCUGCACAAGAAAUUGAAUUCAUAUAUUUUCUGACCAAUGGUGAGUUGCAUCCCAUGGAUGCACUCCAUCAGCAGAACUGUCAACACACCAUGAUAUUUGUAUCCAGAAGACAAACUUUCCUAAAAAACACAACAUCAUUUAGCGAGCCAUUAAUCAGUUGACUGCUGUUAUGACAGCACUUUAUGCACGUAAUCAGAAGUAGACAUAUUUCGUCAAGCAACUCCCAUACAUUGCAUACUACAUGUAAUCCAGUCAAAUGUUUCUACCUCAUUCACAAGGAACAGUUAGGGCGUAUGUACCAAGAGAAGAGCUUUACUUCAGUGCUUCACCACUUCAAACUUGAAGCGGAGGUUGGAAAUCAUAACCGGGCACUCUCCUUUCUCAUCGUACUCGGCAUAGUCCCCUCCUGACAAGUCAAUGUCUUCAUACUGAGUCCCAGCAAGCUACACAAACAACUUACAGUUAGUUCGACAAAGCAAAACCAGAACAAAUAGAAUUUCUUUUUUUGGGGUCAUAGAGAAUUUUUCCUCAUAUUAAUCUCAGAUUAACGAGAUUAAUUUGACUCAUCAUCAUCGCACAAAUAAAAGAUGGCUUUAGUAACAACAAAUGUCUAUGAGGAUAGAAGCAAAAUGUGCAACAAGAAAAAGCAUCAACAGUAAUUAGAAGAAGAUAUAUUGAUGAUGAAUCUUCUUAGCUGCGGCAAAACAUUAACCCAAAAAGUACCAAGUGCAUUUACAGCUGUCUGCAUGGGAAUGAGAUAGUUAGGAGCACAGUAGAAAAAGAGGAGAAACAUGUGUAAUGCAUUCGCCUGUUCUUAUCGAAUGAAUGCAAGUUACACUUCAUCCAGCUCAUCUUUAAUACAGUUAGUAAGCAAAUAGAAUCUUCAAACAAGGUUUCCAUUCCAAAGUCUGCCCACCCUUCGCCAUUCAAGUCAAGAGUAAGCCGAUAGGAGACUGAGAGAGCAAAAAUCUAUUGUCAUGCUCUCCACCUAAAUAGAGAGGCAGAAACCAUAAAGGCUAAACUAGAGCAAAUAAUCAAACAAUAUGCUAACACAUUAAAGAAAAAGCUGGAAAGAAUUUGUAAACUAAAGAGCUCAAUGUUGAAAAUAUUCACAACCGUGAAAUGCAUAAAAAAGGAUAAGAUGUAUCUUAAAUGAAGAUGGUCAUGCAUAAUCAUAAAUACGAACACUCAACUUGCGCUCUGAUAACACAAUGCAGUGCUCACAAGUCAUUUCCAUCCACCACUUGAAAUAUGUCUAAUGUUUAGUGUUCAAAAACUAUGGGGAAAGGGCAAGAAUAGAAACUUACAGAUUCAACUUUCCAUCCAACACCAAAGACGAAAUCCACAGGCUCAUAACCCCUGCAGUCGAAUAACAUCAAGGGGCUAAAACCCCCAGAUUGAGCAGCUUCCUGGGUCAGUGGUUUACCCCGGCCUGGGAUCAUAGUAACAGUUCCUUCUCUCCCACAAAAUUUGCACUGUGAAGAAAGAUAUGGAGCCAGAAAAUCACCAACAACCAGAACACAGUCAUUUUAUAAAUAGAGUGAAAAAGUUUCAUCUGUAAUAUGUCACAGCAACACUUGAAAAUACAGACAAUAUGUCACGGUCAUUUAUACUACAAGUCUCUAACAGAUUAAUCUACCCAAGAAACUUGAAAAUAUGCAAGAAAUCCAUAGUACCAGAUCCUCAUUCCCACACCUUCAAAGUAAUUACUCAAGCUCAACCAAAGAAACUUAAUAAUUCUUUUUCCAUUCUAAAUCCAAGGCAUCAAAAAGCAUAUAUAGGUCAUUGAACAGAAAAAAAAUACAAUUUAUACUAGAAGUCCCAAGAAAAACUAUAUCUUGAAAGCUUGUCGCAUGCAAGCAAUUUUUACAAGAUAUCAAAAGAGCUGAAGAAUUACAUUCAAAUCAUAAAAAGAAAAGCUCUGAAGUUCACAAAGAAUCAUGAGGAUACAUUAUAGAGUUAUGUUCUAUCAUGAUUCCAUGAACUCGUUCACAACAACAGUAACAGAAAGGCCUUGGUUUUAAGUCCAAGAAAUUGAUUUGUUACACUAUGCUACUGCUAAACAUCUCCAGUUUGACUACAAACAAUAAUAUACAUCUAAGCUCAAAUGGCACCAAUUUUAACUAGCUUGAUGAAUAUAUAUAUUCAAUUAGGGAUCUCUGGUUGUAUUAAAGUUGGGAAUAAGCUAACAGACAAAAAAAAAACAGACUCCAGUGCAGUGUAUUUUGUUCCGUAUUGUGUUGAAAUUUGUGUUUUCUGUCAUUUAACUUAUCCCUAACGUUAAUAUGAUCAGGGAUCCCUGAUAGAAAACUCUCUCUCUCUCUCUCUCUCUCUCUCUCUAUAUAUAUAUAUAUAUAUAUAUAGAUAUAUGUGUGUGUGUGCGCGCGCAAUAGUGAUGUACUGCAACCUAUUUUAAUCUCCACUGCAAGUGUAUAUUACUUGAAACAAUUUACAUUAGCAAUAUCUGGUACAAGUAUCAUGACUACAGACCAUCUAAUUGCAUCAUUUAUCUAAAGAUAAAUGAUUAAAUGAAAUAUGUAACUUCACUAAACUAAGCCUGAGGUACCAGUAUAACAGCUUUUCCUUCACAGUUUGAUCAUUUGGUUAGAGCAUAUAUCUAUUUAAAGUCCUCGCAAUAAGACAAACAAGAUCACUCACAUUUUAAUACAUACACAAAGAGAGGAAGAGAGAGAGGUAUUACUUUUUGAAUGAGAUUUGUGGUUCCCUUGCCUCCUUGAGUAGGAAGAGUUUCAGCCAAGCUCACACAAGUUUCUUUCUGGCUUAGUUCUCCGCAUCCACACUUCAACUACACCUCACAAAAAAUAAACAGAUAAACAUCUAAUUCAGAGAGCAUUGCAAGAUUAAAAUUCAAUUCCAACAUUAACUAACUAGAAUCAACAAAACAAACAUAUAAUAUAAUUUGAUAAGAGUGAUAUACAAUGUUACUGAAAAUCAACUUAUAUGAACAUCCAUAAGCAUAUAUAAAUCAGAUCUGAAAAUAAUAUGAUGAGUGACAGAGAUUGAACUGAAUAUAAUCAUUAUACAUAAAAACACAAACAUACAUAACAGGAGACAACAAAUUUGAACACUUAGAAAAAGAAUCAAAACAAAAAAUCCAAAGCAAAACAAGGUGAAGAGCAUUACUAGAGAUCAUAGUCACAAUAAUCAUCUGUAUUUGAAAAUCAAGUAAAAUGAGUAACCUAAAACCAGAAACCUAAAAAUAAGUACUCGCAUUCAUUUGGUGUACGAGAGAGAGCAAUGAAAACAGAAAAGAAAAAUCCAUACCGAAAUUCAUCCAUUAUGUGAAGCAAAGCGAGCAGUGCAAGAAGUAAAUACGAAGUAAAGAAGAAUCAAGAGCGGCGAAACGGAGGUAAUACUGAGGGAGAGAAAGAGAGGGGACCUUGAAGAAGUAAGAGAAGUUAGGAUCGUCGCAGCCGCCUUGAGGUUGGAGAUUGGUGAGGUUCUCGAGAUCGGCGCUGAUCAUCAGCAUGCAAUUCACCAUUUUCGCUUAGCUUUCCAGUGCCAAAAUAUUCUCUCUCUAUUUUUUCAGCGUGCUGGAUGGACGGAUGGGUUGAGACUUGAGAGAGACAAGGUAAGUGCUCGCCGCUUCGAUCGAGGGAAUUCUAUUAUACGCGCGUGGCUUGGCGAAUGUUGCCCGCCCACGGAGAUUACAUCGAUACGAUAAUUGUUUUGAACGACAUGUCGUAUUUUUCUUGGAUGGUAAACAGACAAGACGUUUAUACUUGGUGAAAAUGCUACAAUUUUGUAAUCGGGAUUUGUAUGACCAACUAGGGUCGCAUAAAGUCAGUAGAGUUUGGUAUACAUGUACAAAUAAUUUGUUACGUGCUUUGUAUCUAAGCUGGAGAUAGUAUUAUGAUUUUAAAAAAAUUUUCAAACGAAAAAUUUUAACGAAAUCUUUCAAUUUUUUAUUUCAUUGUAUUUAACUCUAUAUAUUUCUCUAUUCGUAGAGUACAUUGAAUGUACAAAAAUAGUUAUAACAUAAUUCUUAUUAUUUGUAUUAACAGUUACUCUAUAAACAAUGUUGUUGUGAAGCUGUUAGUUUAAUUAUGUUACUAGUAUGCUGACGUGGCGAGCUGAGCUGGAGUGUGGGCCUGCUGUUAGUUAGAAGCCGUUAUUAUUAACGGUUGAUUCCAAAAACAGAGGCAUGCAUAUAUAAGGGUUGGUUUGUGGCAUAGUUAGCGUGUGAUUUUAAGGGUGAUAGAGUGAGAGAUAAUAAAUUCUGUAAACUAAAGAUUUAAUCUCUGCACUCCAUAGAUUCUUUGUGUAAUCGUCUCCAUUAAUAAAGCUUAAGCCUUCUGCUGGUUUUUCAGCCGUUGAUGUAGGUACCUUGAUACUGAACCACGUAAACUCUUUCUCUGUGCUUGCUUCUUGGUUCUUGGUUCUUGUUGAAUCUUACUGUUGUUAUUUGUUUCUAAUUCUAGUUCUUGGUUGUUCUGAGUUGAUCCUAUUAUGUUAACUAGUUCAAGGUGGUUGCAUUUGUCGAUUAAGCAUUAACAAACUGGUAUCAGAGCUUGGUUCAUUGAGGCUGUUCUUGAUCAAAAUGACGACCACCAGAUUUGAUCUCGAAAGGUUUAAUGGUGAUAACGACUUCUACGUCUGGAGUCUUAAGAUGAGAGCAAUUCUCAUCCAGUAAGGGCUUGAUAGUGCUCUUGAUGAUGAAGAUGAAGAUCCAAAGGGCAAGAAAGAACAUGCAUAGGGCUCAUCAAUAUUAGGAGGAGAUCAGAAAACCAUUAAUAACAAGGCUCACAGCACCAUUAUCCUACAUCUCUCUAAUGAAGUGCUGAGAGAGGUUGCAAAAGAGAAGACUACAUCAGGAUUAUGGUCAAAGUUGGAAGACUUAUAUUUGAAGAAGUCAGUGGCCAAGAGAUUAUAUAUGAAGAGGAGACUGUACACCUUCUCCAUGAAAGAGGGAGUAGCUAUAAAUGAUCAUUUGGAUGAAUUCAAUAAGCUAAUCUUGGAUCUUGAAAAUGUAAACAUCGAUUUGGAAGAUGAAGAUAGGGCACUAAUUUUGCUAAGCUCCCUGCCUGAUUCAUUUGAGCAUUUUGUUGAUACUCUUUUAUAUGGAAGGCAGACUCUCAUGUUAAAGGAUGUUAAAAGUGCCUUGGAAUCAAAAGAUUUGAAGAAGAAAUCUAAUGGGAAAGAUCAAAGCUAUGGGGAAGGAUUAACAGUCAAGUCAAAGGCAAAUAAAAAAAACAGCAAAGAAAAGAAAAAUACCAACCAGAAAGAUAAAAUAGAGAAAAAGAAAAAUAAGAAGAAAUGUUAUUUUUGUCAAAAAGAAGGGCACUAUAUGAAGGAUUGUUUUGAGAAGAAAAAGCUUGAGAAGCUUCAAAAGGAAUCAAAUAGGAAGGUUGCCCUUGUGUCAGAGGAUGAAGGAGACUCAGAGGGUGCUGAUGUUCUAGUAACAGUAGAAAAGCAUCAAAUUGGUGAGUGGAUACUUGACUUUGGGUGCUCUUUCCAUAUGUGCCCAAAUAAGCAUUUCUUUAAGACAUUUAGAAGUAUUGAGGGUGGUAAAGUGUUGUUGGAAAUGACUUAGCUUGUAAAGUUGCUGGAAUUGGAACCAUUGAUAUAAGGGAAAUUAUCAAUCAUAUACCCUUAAAUGACAUCCAUAUCAAACGUGUGUGAACACUUUUCAAGUGUAUCACUCGUAUACCAUAAGUUGACAAAACACUUAUGUCGUCCACCAAUUUGUUAACUUCCGUUAGAAAGUUAACAGAAU
rnacentral:lncRNA from 1 species